rnacentral:lncRNA from 1 species
AAGUGUAUCGGUACAGGUUAUGGUGUCACUGGUAACACGAUUGUGCAGAGGCAAAGCCGAGAGCUGCUGUUCGGGUUUUACAAAAGUGUACCGGUACAGCCCUGAUGUUGUACCGGUACAAAAUGCCCAGACUUCAGAUUUUUGAAUCUUUUCGAUUCUAAUUCGCGCCGAUCAACGCUAAAACCUUUCCAACUCGUUUAAACUCACUUUUAACCUUUCCAACCUUGUUGGAACGUU